rnacentral:rRNA from 1 species
GGGUCAGUAGGUUGGUCGUGCCACCGGUACGUACUGGUCUCACUGAUUCCUCCUUCCUGAAGAACCGUAAUGCCAUUAAUUUGGUGUUGCGGGGAAACAGGACUGUUACUUUGAAAAAAUUAGAGUGUUUAAAGCAAGCCAACGCUUGAAUACAUUAGCAUGGAAUAAUGAAACAGGACGAUCGAUCCUAUUUUGUUGGUUUCUAGGAUUGACGUA